ACAUGAGUGGCAUAUUGGUUUGAUUGUUGGACUAUGACUCUGGAAACCAGGGUUUGAUUCCCUGCUUGGGCA